rnacentral:rRNA from 1 species
UACGGAGGGAGCUAGCGUUGUUCGGAUAUACUGGGCGUAAAGCGCACGUAGGCGGCGUCGUAAGUCAGGGGUGAAAUCCCGGAGCUCAACUCCGGAACUGCCCUUGAAACUGCAAUGCUAGAAUCUUGGAGAGGCGAGUGGAAUUCCGAGUGUAGAGGUGAAAUUCGUAGAUAUUCGGAAGAACACCAGUGGCGAAGGCGACUCGCUGGACAAGUAUUGACGCUGAUGCGCGAAAGCUAGGGUAGCAAACGGG